rnacentral:rRNA from 1 species
AGCAGCCGCGGUAAUUCCAGCUCCAAUAGCGUAUAUUAAAGUUGUUGCAGUUAAAAAGCUCGUAGUUGAAUUUCGGAGUUUGUCGGUUGGUCGGGCUUCACUGUCCGCACUGGCCUGAUGGAUUCCUACCUUCUGAAUAACCGGCAUGCUAUUAAGUUAGUGCGUUGGGGAAGCAGAGCUAUUACCUUGAAAAAAUUAGAGUGCUUAAAGCAGGCUUUUGCUUGAAUAGAUUAGCAUGGAAUAAUAAAAUAGGACGGCAUGGUUCUAUUUUGUUGGUUUCUAGGAUCACCGUAAUGAUUAAUAGGGAUAGUUGGGGGCAUUAGUAUUCAAUUGUCAGAGGUGAAAUUCUUGGAUUUAUUGAAGACUAACUUCUGCGAAAGCAUUUGCCAAGGAUGUUUUCAUUAAUCAAGAACGAAAGUUAGGGGAUCGAAGACGAUCAGAUACCGUCGUAGUCUUAACCAUAAACUAUGCCGACUAGGGAUCGGACGAUGUUAAUUUUUAAUGACUCGUUCGGCGCCUU